CAUGAGGUAAGUCAGGCUUAGAUAGCUGGAGCAAAGCUGGGAGUCACGGUGACACCAACGGCUGCUGGCGAGUGCAGAAGGUGCUCAGCCUCUGAAUAUUUCAGCACGUUCAUCUGGGCAUUCUGAAGAUGAAGAAACUUUCAAUAAUUUAUGAUCCUCUCGGCGAAAAAAUGGUUACUGAAGCACACAAAAUACUGUGAACAGAUCAAUGCAACAUCUUGUUGUCUUCUUACCACCUGUCUUCUGGUGCUGCCGGAGCUGCUGGCUGUGUCCCGCUCACCACAAGGCCAGCAGAA